GAUGAACGCUGGCGGCGUGCCUAAUACAUGCAAGUCGAGCGAACGGACGAGAAGCUUGCUUCUCUGAUGUUAGCGGCGGACGGGUGAGUAACACGUGGAUAACCUACCUAUAAGACUGGGAUAACUUCGGGAAACCGGAGCUAAUACCGGAUAAUAUUUUGAACCGCAUGGUUCAAAAGUGAAAGACGGUCUUGCUGUCACUUAUAGAUGGAUCCGCGCUGCAUUAGCUAGUUGGUAAGGUAACGGCUUACCAAGGCAACGAUGCAUAGCCGACCUGAGAGGGUGAUCGGCCACACUGGAACUGAGACACGGUCCAGACUCCUACGGGAGGCAGCAGUAGGGAAUCUUCCGCAAUGGGCGAAAGCCUGACGGAGCAACGCCGCGUGAGUGAUGAUGGUCUUCGGAUCGUAAAACUCUGUUAUUAAGGAAGAACAUAUGUGUAAGUAACUGUGCACAUCUUGACGGUACCUAAUCAGAAAGCCACGGCUAACUACGUG
rnacentral:rRNA from 1 species